AACGCACAUUGCGCCCCUCGGUAUUCCGGGGGGCAUGCCUGUUCGAGCGUCAUUACACCCCUCAAGCGUAGCUUGGUAUUGGGCUUCGCCCCUGCGGCGUGCCCGAAAGUUAGUGGCGGUCCGGUGUGACUUUAAGCGUAGUAAAUACAAAUCCCGCUCUGAAAGUUCACGCUGCGGCCUGCCAGACAACCCCAUAACUUUUCAAUAAUUGACCUCGGAUCAGGUAGGGAUACCCGCUGAACUUAA
rnacentral:misc_RNA from 1 species